rnacentral:rRNA from 1 species
CGUGUAGGCGGUUUGUACAGUCAGAUGUGAAAGCCCCGGGCUCAACCUGGGAACUGCGUUUGAUACUGCUGGUCUAGAGUCCGGGAGAGGGUAGUGGAAUUCCCAGUGUAGAGGUGAAAUUCGUAGAUAUUGGGAAGAACACCGGUGGCGAAGGCGGCUACCUGGACCGGUACUGACGCUAAGGUGCGAAAGCGUGGGGAGCAAACA